rnacentral:rRNA from 1 species
AUACGUAGGGUGCGAGCGUUGUCCGGAAUUACUGGGCGUAAAGAGCUCGUAGGUGGUUUGUCGCGUCGUCUGUGAAAUUCCGGGGCUUAACUCCGGGCGUGCAGGCGAUACGGGCAUAACUUGAGUACUGUAGGGGAGACUGGAAUUCCUGGUGUAGCGGUGAAAUGCGCAGAUAUCAGGAGGAACACCGGUGGCGAAGGCGGUUCUCUGGGCGAUAACUGACGCUGGGGAGCGAAAUCAUGGGUAGCGAACAGGAUUAGAUACCCUGGUAGUCCAUGCCGUAAACGGUGGGCGCUAGGUGUAGGGGUCUUCCACGACUUCUGUGCCGUAGCUAACGCAUUAAGCGCCCCGCCUGGGGAGUACGGCCGCAAGGCUAAAACUCAAAGGAAUUGACGGGG